rnacentral:lncRNA from 1 species
AGAGCGAGGCCCCGCCGGCCGGGCUUGACGUCAGGCUGGCAGGGCCUGGAACGGCCCCGCAUCGCGGCCCCCUGGGGGCAGGACGACACCGCUGGGGGCCGAGGGCAGGGCACGCCUUCGGAAUCCGGCUUCGAAGCCGGCCGCCUGACCUGGGGCAAGUGCUUUCAACUCUCUGAACUUCGGUUCCUCAUCUGCCAGUUGGCAGACGCUCAGCAAAUCUUCCUAGACUCACGGGGCGAAUUGUACAGUUGGGUAAAUCGAGGCCCAGAGAUGGCAAAAGGACCGUCCAAGGUCGUACAGCCACCCGGAAUUACAAUUCUUUUCUGCCGGGUCACACGCUGUCAUCCACGUGUUACCUAAGAGAGCUUUCCAGCCUGUGCUAAGAAAACUGCCCCACAUCAUCUGCAGUAGGACGGGGGAGUUGGAGCCCUGGUCAGGCCACUCUGCUACUGACCACAGUUUUCUCAUCUCUAAAAAGGCGCAGUAACAAUAUAAUUACCGUAUGCAGUCCCCCAGGAUACAGGGUCAAAGGAGAGCACAACCAUCGCAGUUGGAAGCCCAUGGGGCAGGUGAGUCACUGUUGUCACUACUGGGGUCAAUUUUUUUUUUUUUCUUUUUGAGACGGAGUCUCGCUCUUUCCCCAGGCUGGAGUGCAGUGGCGCGAUCUCGGCUCACUGCAAGCUCCGCCUACCGGGUUCACGCCAUUCUCCUGCCUCAGCCUCCCGAGUAGCUGGGACUACAGGCACCCGCAGCCACACCCGGCUAAUUAUUUGUAUUUUUAGUAGGGACGGGGUUUCACCGUGUUAGCCAGAAUGGUCUCAUCUCCUGACCUCAUGAUCCACCCGUCUCGGCCUCCCAAAGUGCUGGGAUUACAGGCGUGAGCCACCGCGCCUGGGGUCACUAUUGAAGUUGGCUAAUGUCACUAUUGAAGUCAAGUGAGAGAGAGGGCCCUCUUGGAGUCAGACCACCUAGGUUCAAAUUCUGGAUCCUGCUUCCGGCUCCUUUCCUCUGUCCCCCUUCUCCCCUCGGUGCCCUCCAACCAGUGGGCCUGGGAAAGCGUGUUCAUGCUGGAAAUGCCUGCCCAGCCCUUGCCCAGUCACACAGAGCAAGUGCCCCAGAAAUGUCCUGAACCUCAGUUUACUGAGGGGAAACUAAGAACCUUCUGGCUACAGCUCUUGGGCUGAGCAGGGAUUAGGCUCGGGUCUGCGAUCCCAGGCCCUGCGGCCUCCCAGAGGCUUGGUUGAGAGCUCUGGCUCUCACUCCCCCACCUCCACCCAGCACCUGCCCCGGUCCAGGCUCACCCCCUACCCCUCCACCUGGUCAGUGGUGGCUCGGCCUCCUCUCAGCCCCUCCACCCCUCCUGGCUGUACACACCCUCAAGCUAACGGAAUUCAAACUGGUGGAGGAAGGCCUGCCCUGUCCCUCCCAGCCCCUGCCUCUCCCUCCCUACUCCCAGCCUCACUGGACCACUUUCAAGUCCUCCAGUGCUCCAGGCUCCAUCUUCAUGCCUCCAGGCCUUUGCACGUGCUGGUCCCUCUCCCAUUCUCCUGGUUAACUCCUCCACCUCCAUCCGAGCUAGGAUCUUCCCCUGGAGAGUGUCCCGGUUAGCACUACCCCACAACACACACACACACCGACAUACACGCCCCACAUCACAGGGACCACAUCCCACACAGGCACAGACACACUGCAUGACGCAGAUCACAGGCACAAAGGUGCAUGCGUGCACACAUACACACUCCCACUCCAUAUGCCAAUACACUUAUCCCCCUACUCCCACAUCACACAGACGGUUCCACACACUCCUCACACGCUCUGGCCACACAGUAAACACACACAGACCACAGAGCUCAUGUCUGGGCUGCCCUGGUGCCCUCCUCUGGGCUCGUGCCCCCAGCCUCAGCAUUUACCCCCCAUUGAGGGCAGGGACCCACCCAGCUCCGUUUUCCUCCAUUUCAGCUCAGGGCCCUGCACCAAGUCUCUCCCAGUUGUUGCUUGGACCCGGACUCCUCCCACAGUCACCACUGUCACAGUCCCACCUCCUUCAAGGUCUCAAACACCCCUCCCCUGUUUCUGGCAGGAGCCGUCCUCACUCCCUCUAUUGCCUCUCCAGACCCAGACUUCACCCUCAGGUCACCCUCACCUGGACUUUGGGGUGCCCCACACCCCGCCCCAGGCCCUGGCCUCUGGAAUAUUUGGAAACUUGAACUGGGCCAGAGGCUUAAGCUCACAUCUGUCUGGAGCCUCAACUUUCUCCUCUGUAAAAUGGGCUAACACUGAAAGAACCUUGCAGAAUCUCAGCAACGUCACAGAGGACAUUGUUAGCACAGCCAGCGGGCUCCUGCUGGGCUGAGUUUGUGGGUAAUCCAAGCCUCGGCAGGUACAGUUCCUCCCUCAGGUGAGUGUUCCACCCCCAAGUGAGCAUCCUGCUGCCCUUCCUGCAAAUCAGGCCCCUGGGACACUUAGUGCUGAGCCUUGGGGGUGGGGUAUUUGAUCGGGGUUCCUGACAAGUGGCUGGGUUGUCUGUUCCCUCUCUUCAGAGGGAGCCUCCAUGGGUGGCCUGGGCUCACAUCGGCUCCUCCAGUCCAGCAGAGCACCCCCCCCUGGCUGCCCAGCUUGUUGAGAGAACUUGCUGAGCAGGACAGUGAGCCCUUCCUGGUGGGGAACCGGAAUCAGGAGAAGACAGAGGGGAGGUGGCAGGCCCCAGGAUGGAGGGAGGGCAGCUGAGCUGCCUGCCCUCAUCCUCCCUGCCCUUCAGGUAUUAGGGCCCUUCCCAUGGCCCAGUAGGAACCCAGCGGCUCACCUGAGCCCGGACUAAGGAUGGGGCAUUUUACCCCAUAUGCAGAGAUGAGAAACAGAGGCCCAAGGAGGGAAGGGACUGAACACAGGGUGGAACAGCCCUGGGCUGCGCCUGUGUUUCCAUCCGCCUUCCUCCUGCCUGUGCUCGAGUCACGUGCUGGUGUGCAGGGAACAGGAAGACAGCCGCUGCCCUCACAGGCUCAGGGUCUAGCAGAGUCCACAGUGACCACAGGCGAAUAAACAAAGGCAGUGAGACAGAGGUGGGCAAGGAGAGGUGCUGGGAUGGGGAGCAAGGGGGUACCCAUGCUCAUGGGUAUGAACACAUGGACCCAUAUACCCAUAUGUAUGUCCCAGAGUUUCUUCCAGAACUUUUUUUUUUUUCCCAAGACAGAGUCUUGUUCUGUAGCCCAAGCUGGAGUGCAGUGGCACGAUCUCGGCUCAUUGCAACCUCCACCUCCUGGGUUCAAGCGAUUCUCCUGCCUAAGCCUCCCGAGUAGCUGGGAUUACAGACGCCCUCCACCAUGCCCGGCUAAUUUUUGUAUUUUUAGUAGAGACAGGGUUUCACCAUGUUGGCCAGGCUGGUGUCGAACUCCCGACCUCAGGUGAUCCGCCCGCCUCGGCCUCCCACAGUGCUGAGAUUACAGGGGUGAGCCACUGCACCUGACCCCUUCUAGAACUUCUCUAUCAGUUCACUCUCACAUCUACACUGAACACCUUUGCCCAAGGCUGGGGGCAGAGUGGUUAAAAGCCAAAUCUAGACUCCUUCUUGCUGUGUGACCUCGGCCAGGUCACUGUCCCCCACUGUGCCUCCCCAUCAUGUCCUCCUCUAAAAAAUGGAUGCAUAGCCCUCAGGGCUGUUGUUGAAGGGUCCCUGAGAUGACUGUGGAGCUCUUGGUGUGGGGACCCAAGCUCAACCCUGCCCCAAGUACUGUCCCCCAGCCCAACUGCAGUACUUGGCCCCCCUCAACUUCUAGCCUCCAGUCUCUGCCUGAACCCCAGCACCUGGCAGUUCAGCUCAGUUCAUUUACGUAGCCCAGCCUGGGUUCCUGUGAGAUGAAGGCCGGUCACAAUGACAAGACUGCUGGGGACGAUUGGGUCCCUGGCCAGGUACUCAGGUCUACAGCCUAACACACGGUGAGCUGUUUCCCAGCCACCCAACUCUUGGGCAUCCCUGCAGGACCUCCACGGGGAGUCCUUGGCUCCCUGAAGGAUGGAUCAUCAGAGGAGCUGCCAGGCUGCCAGAGCUGGAAGGGACCUCAGGGAUCACCACUGUGGCCAACCCUCCACUGCACACACAGAAAAGCUGCAGCUCAGAGCUGGGCGUGGUGGCUCACACCUGUAAUCCCAGCACUUUGGGAGGCCAAGGCAGGCAGAUCACCUGAGGUUGGGAGUUCGAGACCAGCCUGGCCAACAUGGAGAAACCUUGUCUCUGCUAAAAAAUACAAAAUUAGCCAGGCGUGUUGGUGCAUGCCUGUAAUCCCAGCUACUCAGGAGGCUGAGGCAGGAGAAUCGCUUGAACCCGGGAGGCAGAGGUUGCGGUGAGCCGAGAUCACACUAUUGCACUCCAGCCUUGGCAAAAAGAGCGAAACUCCAUCCCAAAAAAAAAAAAAAAACAAAGCUGCAGCUCAGAGAAGUGGAGACACUGGCCCAGGGACCCACAGCAAGGCCUUGGCCCAGCUGGGGCUAGAUGGCAAGAGGUGGUUCAGCAUUGGAGCUCCAUUGCCUGGGUUCAAAUCGGGGUCUGUCACUGGCCAGCUGUGAGCCUAAGUCUCUGAACUUCUCUGUGCCUUAGUGUCCUCAUUCUGUAGAGUGGAGAUAGUAAUCAUUCCUAUUUCAAAGAUUGUUGUGAGAAAUAAGUGAACUAAUACAUGUCAUAUGCUUAAAAGCAGGGCCCAGGACACAGUGAGCAUACAAUAGACAUUAGCUGCUGUGGUGUCUUGAUUUCAAGCCCAGUGCAGAUGCAUCUGACUUACGAAACUUCAGUGACACCUGCUCUGUGCCAGACACUGAAGAUGGAGCAGUGAACAGCACUGACCCAGCCUGUCCUCCUGUUGCCUGCAGGCCAGGUAGGAAACACACUGGAAACUGAUAACUCCAUGUGCUCAUCGCCAUGUGGUUUCUGCUGGUCUGGGGAGCCGGGGACAAAGAGCAGAAAACAUGGUUCCAGGUAGAGGGGGGUAGCACGCAUGAAGACCGUGAGGCAGAAAGCACACAAAACUGAAUUGGAGAGAAGGCCCAAAUGGCUAGAGCUCAGAACCCGAGGAGAGGAGAGGGGAGGAAAGGAGAGACCUCCAGAGCCUGGGGAUGAUAUGUAGAGAGCCCGGGAACCAGCGCUGGUUAGAGAGGGAAGGAAGCCUGCAGCCUUGCAUUUUAGAAAGAUCUGGCUGGCUGAGCUGAGGAGGGCAGAUAGGAGGUUAGGGUGGCGGAGGGGGGUUGGGGGGCAGGCAGAGAGUAGGGGCUAGGAGCCCAGGGAGCAGGCGGGAGAUGGAGCAGCCGGAUAAGGGGGAUAAGGGUGGGGGGCAGUGGGGACAGGGUAAAGGGAGCUGACUCAUUGAGGUGGGAAGCUCCCCAGGGUCGGCAUUUGGUUGGGGCAUGGGGAAUCUGGCUGGGGCGGGGGUACAUGGCUGGAGGUGAUGGUUAGGAGCAAGCUCAAGGAUGGAGGGAGACCCCGUGUCCAGCUCUGGCCACCCCAGCUGCCGCAGCACCCUGGGGCCAUCAGCCCACAGACUUGAGCCCUGUGCUUUAGAGGGCAGCGCUCCUGGACCAGGGAGACAUUUCCAGCUGGAGCCAUGGGCCCCUUGACCAUGAUCUGGCACCUGGGGCCCUGGAGUUCCCUGUUCAAUGGCCCCAGCCUGCGUCCUGUGUGCAUCCUCCUGAGGGUUGUCUGAGCCACCUGUUUGGGCACCCCUAAACCCCAGGAGUGACCAGGAGGUGGCUGUUGGCAGGGGGUGUGGACAGAACAUGUGCUUACAGCCUGGAGUGCCUACACCUGAGCAUGCACAGCCCCUCAGGGAAAAGGACAGAACCUGGGGCAAAAAGAAAAGAAGAGGCGAGUGUGAAGCCGGAGGCCAGAGGCUGAGAGGCGGGCUCCCCAACCCGCUACAGCUCCUCCUGUGGUCUCCAAGGAGCCUGAGAAUUCUAAACACAAACCCAGCCUUCCAGGUGUGUUUGUCCUUAUGAAGGUGUAUUUGUCAAGGAAGGAGGACAGAACUUUUUUUUUUUUUUUGAGACGGAGUUUCGCUUUUGUUGCCCAGGCUGGAGUGCAGUGGUGUGAUCUCGGCUCACUGCAACCUCCACCUCCCUGGUUCAAGCAAUUCUCCUGCCUCAGCCUCCCGAGUAGCUGGGAUUACAGGCAUGCGCCACCAUGCCUGGCUAAUUUUAUAUUUUUAGUAGAGACGUGGUUUCUCCAUGUUGGUCAGGUUAGUCUCCAACUCCCGACCUCAGGUGAUCUGCCCGCCUCAGCCUCCCAAAGUGCUGGGAUUACAGGCGUGAGCCACCGCACCCGGCAACAGAACAUAUUUUAUUUAGCAGUUUGUUAGCUUGAUUUAUAACUUGUAAAUACCUAGACAUGAGGUAUGUGGGCCUCGGCUUGCACUCCUGCCCCAGGCUGACCCCUGGUGCUGCCCAGAGAGAAGCCGCCUCCCUGGGCUGACCCCUAACCAGCAGGCUGACCCCCAGGGGAUCCUGCAGGCUUCUUCAGAGCUUCCUACUCCAUGCACCCUCGCUGGGCUCAGUCCAGCCCCCUGCCUUUGUCUGAGGGUCCUCCUGCCUCCCUGUUUGAGGAUUCAACUCCAGCCCCUCCCUGCCCUCACCCUUCUUCCUGUCCCUUGUCCAUGGAGAUCCUGGGCUCUGGUUUUAUUUGGCCACAGUGGCAUCUGUCACGAGCUGACCAGCUGGGUAUGAGUCCUGUCCCUCCUUCCGGAGAGACGGAGAGCUCCUAGAAGCAGCGCCUCCCAGCAGAAGCAGAAUCUUGCCCUGGGGAGGAGUACAGCUCAGAACCCGCAGACUCGGGGUCAAAUCCCAGCUCUGUGACUUUCUUGAUGCGUGACCUUGGGAGGCAGCUUUGCUGCCCUGAGCCCUGUUUCCUCCCCGGAAAACCCAUAAUAAUAACUGUACCUCUUCCAGUGAGGAGACAAGGUGGAAUAGAACGCAGAGCCCACGUGUGCCUGGCACUUGGCAAGUACACCGGGAAGAAGGAAUUGGGAAGGGCAGGAGUUACAUCAUUCACCUGUUUACAGCUGAGCAAACUAGCGGAGGCUCGGCGAGGUGAAGCCAGUCCCCCAAGGUCACACAGCCGGCCGGCCGGCCGCAGGACAGGGGCCGAAGACGUAGUUGUCUGACCUGUGCUCUAACCACUGUGCUCUCUGGCCUCAAGCCGGCUCCCACACUACCCUUCCCUGUUCUCCGUGGCCCUCCAGCGCCUGAAAGCCGCUUGGGGGCCGCGGAGGCAGGUGGCAUGGCCAGGGCAGAGUCCGCGGGGCGGAAAGGGUUAACGGGCUCCGCCGCAUUGGGCUGUCCUUCAAGGGGGGAGCCAGCCAAUGAGCGCGCGCCGCGAUGAGGUAAUGCCGGGACCACGCGGAGUGGGCGGGGCUGACGGGGACCCCGCAGAGCUCAGCGCUUCUUCUCUCCCCACCUACCCCUCACCUUUGACCUUGAUGUACACCCUCCCCUCCCCCAACCUUACCCCUGCAGAGGCGCCCGAACUGAAAGUCGGCUGCAGGGCCGCGGGCCUCCCUUAGUCUGGGACAGGAACUGAGAGACGUCCCGGCCUCAGUCACACCCUCUGGGCCUCAGUUUCCCUUUCUGCAAGAAGCAGAGUGGGUGAUCGCUAAAGACCCUACCAGCUGUGGACGUCCUUGGAUCCCAGGACAGUUUUCAGCCCUUCCCUGCCCUUGGCCCGAACUUUAACGGUCCCAGCCCCGGCUUCCCCUCAGGCGGUGCCCAGUGCCAGGACCUAGGAGUCCCUCGGGCCACGGGGAGAGAGCCUCACCGGCCCAGCCACGCCCUCCAUGUGACCCCGACCCAUCCCUUGGGUGUCGCACCUGGCGCGCCCACCGAGGCCACUAAGCUCUGCUAGCUGCACCAGCAGCAGGACCUGCCGGCGUGGCGGUCAGAAGUCAACAUUCAUCCCACCGCCAGUAAAAAUCGAGGGCCUACCGCCUGCCGCUCAGGGCCUCGUCCUGAGCCGUGUCCCGGGGCCGCCCGCGCCCGCCACCCCUCCCCCCGGGCCUGCAGGGAGCCGGUCCGCCCCUUUCGCGCAGUCCGGGCACGAAGUGGUUAACGCCUUUCCAGCCGAGCUGGCACCGCGCGGCCGGGCUUAUUAGUCAGCUCGCGGGGAGGCGGCGAGGGGAGGGGAGGGGCUCUAGUGGAGAACCGCAGAAAGCUAUUCUCAGGGGCUCCCGAGUGUGGGGAGGGCGGCUCAGCAGGAGCUGCUGCUUCCCAGAAAGUUGAUUAUUUUUAACCCAGGAAGAAGAAAGGAAGGAGGCGAGGGAGAAGGACUCAGAGAAAAGAGGAGAGGAAAAGAGAGGAGAGGAGAGGAAAGAAACGGAGUCUCACUCUGUCACCAGGCUGGAGUACAGUGGUGUGAUCUCGGCUCACUGCAACCUCCGCCUCCCAGGUUCAAGCGAUUCUCCUGCCUCAGCCUCUCAAGUAGCUGAGAUUACAGACGUGUGUCACCAUGCCCUGUUAAUUUUUGUUUGUUUGUUUUGUUUUUUGUUUUGUUUUGUUUCGUUUUUUGUUUUUUUUUUUUGAGACGGAGUCUUGCUCUGUCGCCCAGGCUGGAGUGCAGUGGCCCCGAUCUCGGCUCACCGCAAGCUCCGCCUCGCGGGUUCAUGCCAUUCUCCGGCCUCAGCCUCCCGAGUAGCUGGGACUACAGGCAUCCGCCACCACACCCAGCUAAUUUUUUGUAUUUUUUUUAGUAGAGACGGGGUUUCACUGUGUUAGCCAGGAUGGUCUCGAUCCCCUGACCUUGUGAUCCACCCAAGGCCUCGGCCUCCCAAAGUGCUGGGAUUACAGGCAUGAGCCACCGUGCCCGGUCAAUUUUUAUAUUUUUUGUAGAGACAGGGUUUCACCAUGUUGGCCAGGCUGGUGUCGAACUCCCGACCUCAGGUGAUUGUCGGCCUUGGCCUCCCAAAGUGCUGGGAUUACAGGCGUGAGCCACCGCGCCCAGCCGGUGGGCAGCCAGUUGUGUUCCGGGAGGAGGAGGACACCCUGGAAAGACAGUGGGGCCAGACACUGAACUGCCUUUGGAAGCAAGUAGGAGCAACAGCGAAGGUUUGCUGGCUCAGGUAGGAGGAUUAAUUGGAACGAUUAAGCUGGAAGCUCUGUAAGACGGAUUAGAGGGGCAAACUUGGAGGCAGGAAGGCUGGGAGGAGACCACUGCUGAGUGAUUUUUCUUCCCCCACAGGUUCCCAGUCCCUGAUUUCUGGCCACUCCGCCUUUCUGUGAGUCAUUUUGUUUUUGUUUUUCAGAAGCAAGGUCUCGCUGUGUUACCCUGGCUGGAGUGCAGUGGCUACUUACAGGCAUGAUCAUAGCAUACUGCAGCCUCGAACUCCUGGACUAGAGCAGUUCUCCUGCCUCAGCCUCCAGAGCAGCUGGGACUGCAGACACGCACCACAGAGCCCAGCCUGAGUCAUUUUGAUUCUGUAACUGGCUUCCUCUCGGCGGGCAGGCUCACACCCUCCACCCCCAGCUGGAGAUGGAAGGAGGAUGCUCACCGCCCAUUCCUCAUGCAGGCCAUCGAUGGAAAUGUCAGACAGUGCGAGUCCACGCCUGAACACUUCUGGGGUCCGCUCUGGGACUGACACUGGCAGAUCCAUCGUGGCACCCGAGCUCUGUGAGGGCAAGACUUUGUUCGGUUGUGGGCUAUGCCCCCAACCCCUCGGACAGUGCCUGCACAGGUGGACAUUUUUGUUGGAUGAAGGAUUUUCUGUUAAAUGUGUCUGGCACACACAGAAAAACAAAGCCCAGCAGGUACGAUGGUGAUUAUUAUUGUUACUGGUGGCGCUCUAUUAUUGUUAUUAGUGUCUGUUGAAAAAGACCCUGAGCUAUACCAGCCCUUGGUUCUCCAGCCUGUGAAAUGGGCAUCCUGGGCACUGAGGCACUAGCCUUGGGAAGCUGAUAGGGGGUCCCUGCAGGAGAGACAAAGAACACUGCCCACCCCCCCGGGGGAGCCUGCGCCCCUCACCGGAAAGAGAAGCAGGGGGGAGCAGAGGGAGCUUGCAGCCCCACACGCAGGGCUGCCAGAAGGCCAUACAUAAUUCAUUGCCAAAUGGGGCUGCGGGCGGCUCUCCGCGGCGUGCGCUGGGGGCUCACUCUGCGCCUGGCACUUCGCUGACUGCGCCUCACACGUUGCCUCAUUGCAUCUUCAUGGAUUUGCAGGGUGUGACCCUUCCCCCUGUUUUACCCAGGGGGAUCCUGAGGCUCAGAGGAUGGGGCCACCGUGCUAGUCACACAGCCUCUCUGUGGCCAAGCUGGGCCUCGGGCCAGCAGAUUCGGCCCCCAGCGGCCCCCAUUCACUGCCUCUCUGCUGAGGGAAAAGACGGGCCUGGGGAGCGGGUGGGAGGCACAAAGGAGACCCCGCUCUGAGACAGGCUGCAGAAGAGGGAGCUGGGUCUCAGCAGGGCUGGGGAAGGCUCUGGCCCCAGCCCUCCGCCCAACCCCCUGCCCUCCUCUCCUGGAGGAGAUGCUCCCCAAAUUAGCCAUCAUGAGCGCUGGCUCUGGGGGUUGGGCGUUGGGGAGCAGUUUGCUCAGCUGUAAAAUGGGAAUAACAGAAGCCGUCCCUGGGACUAUGAGAUCAAGGUGCUCAAGAAAAGUGGUGUCUGCUGAGGGGAAAAGCCAGUCCCAAAAGGUUGCAUACUCUCAUUCUGUUUAUUUGUUUUUGUUUUUGAGACAGGGUCUCGCCCUGUCACCCAGGCUGGAGUACAGUGGCGCAAUAUGGGCUCACUGCAACCUCCACCUCCUGGGCUCAAGUGAUCCUCCCAUCUCAGACCCUCAAGGAGCUGGGGCUACAGGCACGUGCCACCGUGUCCGGCUAAUUUUUGUAUUUUUUGUAGAGACAGGGUUUCACCAUGUUGCCCAGGCUGGUCUCAAACUCCUGAGCUCAGGUGAUCCGCCUGCCUUGGCCUGCGAUAAAAUUGCACAGAAGUAAAUACACACACGUGAGGAUACGGAAAACCGGGGAAACCUGAGCAAGAGCAGUCAGACCCCGGCUGUGAUGGCGCCCAGUAGUUCUGCGAGAUGUUACCAUUGGGGAAACUGAGUGAAGGCGGGUACCUGGGAUCCCUCUGUUUUCUUUUUUGUUGUUGUUGUUAUUUUGAGAUGAAGUUUCCCUCUUGUUGCCCAGGCUGGGUGAUCCACCUGCCUCGGCCUCCCAAAGUGCUGGGAUUACACGCGUGAGCCACUGUGCCCAGCCUCUCUGUUUUAUUUCUUCUUUUUUUUUUUUUUUUUUUGGAGACGCUCUGUCGCCCAGGCUGGAGUGCAGUGGCACGAUAUUGGCUCACUGCAAGCUCCGCCUCCUGGGUUCACACCAUUCUCCUGCCUCAGCCUCCCGAGUAGCUGGGACUACAGGCGCCCGCCACCUCGCCCGUCUAAUUUUUUGUAUUUUUAGUAGAGGCGGGGCUUCACCGUGUUAGCCAGGAUGGUCUCAAUCUCCUGACCUCGUCAUCCGCCCGUCUCGGCCUCCCAUAGUGCUGGGAUUACAGGCAUGAGCCACCACGCCCGGCUGUUUUAUUUCUUAUAACUGUACAGGAAUCUACAAUGAUUGUAACAAAAAUUUCAAUUAAGGCCACUCUAGGCACAUGGCCUGUGGGGUAGCCCUGCUCAACAAGAAGCCGUCAAAAAAAUGUUUUUUAAUUAAAAAAUUUCUUCAAUUAAAAAGCGUUAUCUUCCUCUGCCCGGAAAGGGUUAAGUGAGUCACUGCAGUUAGCUCCCCUUCCCCCACAACCACCUAGACCAGGCCAGGGACCAGCGGGCAAUUGCCUGGCAGCUGGAGUUUUCCUCCACUGUGGACUGUACUUCUUGCGUCACUCUGAAUGUCUCCAGUCUUUAUUCCAGAAUGUUCUGGUCCUCUCCCACUUUUCCAAGGACAGGAAUUCCCUAGUGGGGCUCCAGAAGAGGCUCUGGAGGAGAACAAGAAAGGCCCUUGUCAUCCAUUGGCCUCAGGCUGGGAAAUCUCGGUUCCACUCCCAGCCCAGCCUCAAUAUUAGGUUGUCAGUCUGGAGUCUGAGAGCCAUGCCCCCACCCCCUUAGUCCUUCACCUCCAGGAGAGUUGGGGAUACUGGAAAGAAUGUUGAGUGUCAGAGCCCCUCUCAGUGGCUCACGCCUGAAAUCCCAGCCCUUUGGGAGGCUGAGGCAGGUGGAUUGCUUGAGGCCAAGAGUUCAAGACCAGCCUGGCCAACGCGACGAAACCCUGACUCUACUAAAAAUACAAAAAUUAGCUGGGCGUGGUGGCACACACCUGUAAUCCCAGCAGCUCGGGAGGCUGAGGCAGGAGAAUUGUUUGAACCUGAGAGGUGGAGGUUGCAGUGAGCUGAGAUCACAACACUGCACUCAAAAAGUAGUUAAUUAAUUUAGUUUAAUUAAAAAAGAAUAUUGAGUGUCAGGCAAUCUGGGUAGAACCCAUUGUGUUUCUACAGGAUAGAAUCUGCUGUGUUCUCUAGCGGAACUUCCGGAUCACCUUCACCGUAUGACUCUAGACAAUCCCUGUCCACUCUUCAGUUUUAGAUGCCCCAUUCAAAGAAUGAAAGAAUUGUCCUAGAUGAUCCUUUAGGGUCUUCCAGGCUGAUGACAAGGGGGACCUGGCCCCUCUGCUGCUGGCCAAAGAGGACUUUACUUCCCAUUCCGUGUGGUUGAACAAGAAUUGCUGGGCUCCAGUCCUGCCUUUGGCCCUUCCCUACAUGUGACCUUGGGCCCUCUUUGCCUUUCAGAAUCAAUACAGUGAGAGAGUUAACACAAGCUCAGGUUAGUAAGUCAUUCAACAAACAUUUACUGAGCGCUUAUCAAAUACUGCAUGCUGGAGUGGACACUGGAGAAAAAGGUGAGGAGAAGGCCGGGCGCAGUGGCUCGUGACUGUAAUUCCAGCACUUUGAGGGGCAGAGGCAGGUGGAUUACCUGAGGUCAGGAGUUUGAGACCAGCCUGGCCAACAUGGCAAAACCCCGUCUCUACUAAAAAUACAAAUAUUAGCCAGGCAUGGUGGUGCAUAUCUGUAGUCCCAGCUACUCAGGAGGCUGAGCAGGAGAAUCACUUGAACUCAGGAGGUGGAGCGUGCAGUGGGCCGAGAUUGCACCUCUGCACUCCAGCCUGGGCAACAUAGUGAGACUCUGUCUCAAAUAAAUAAAUAAAGUGAGGAGAAAAAAAUACCAUCUCUGUCUUCACAGAACUUAUAGUUUGAGAGGGGAGAAUCCCACAAGUAAAUUAUAAAUCUCAGCUGAGAUUAUGCAAAGAAGCAAAGGCCGGACGUGGUGGCUCACGCCUGUAAUCCCAGCACUUUGGGAGGCCGAGACGGGCGGAUCAUGAGGUCAGGAGAUUGAGACCAUCCUGGCUAACACGGUGAAACCCUGUCUCUACUAAAAAUACAAAAAAAUUAGCUGGGCGUGGUGGCGGGCGUCUGUAGUUCCAGCUACUCGGGAGGCUGAGGCAGGAGGAUGGCGUGAACCCAGGAGCACAGGUUGCAGUGAGCCGAGAUGGCGCCACUGCACUCCAGCCUGGGCGACAGAGCGAGACUCUGUCUCAAAAAAAAAAAAAAAAAAGGAAGCAAAGUGCCCAGCUGGGAUGGUGGUUUCAGAGGCCACAGUGGGAGCUUCCCAGAGAAGGGAUGAUUGAGCUAAGUCUAAGCAAAAGGGGUGGUCAGGGCAGCAGCUGCUCCAAAACAGGGGCUGGGGGCUUAUGUGGAGAGAGAAGACAUGGAGAGACCAUGCCCAGAAGGAGGCGGCGGCUUCAGUGAACAGUGCAGGGGAGCAGGUCCGAGGAGGCCGCCUACCAGGGGAAGGAGUCUCAUCUCCAUCCUAGACAAAAAAAGGAUCUUUUGAGAUGCAUUAAGCAGGGGAGUCACAGAUUGGAUUUGUGUUUUGAGAAUCUCCUGCUUACCUAGAGAAGAAGGGCAUCUCCUGGGCCCUCACUGUUGCCUUAAAUGAUUUUUAUUGUGUAUUACUUAAACAUGUGCAAGCAUAAAAUGAGAUAUAAACUCCUUGUAGCUCUUAUACAAGCAUCAGACCAAGACAAAUUGACCCAUCACGUACAAAAUCGAUUCAAAUCAGAUUAAUUUUAUGUGACAUGUUAUUAUGCCUUUUGUCUGAAACCCUGCCACCACCCACAGUGCAAUUAUGGCCCAACCACUGUGGUGUUCUGAAUUUGUGGGACAGAGAAUAUUGGCCUUUUAAACACGUGCAUGCAUGCAUUUGCGUGUGCGCACACACACACAUCCCAAAUGAUUUUUUCCCACUAUAUAUGAAGAACUCCUACAAACCAAAAAGAAAAAGGCAGACAAUUCAAGAGAAAAAUGGGGGAGGGCUUGCAUUAAAGUACUUCAUAACAAGAGUACUUAGGAGGCCAACAAAUACACGAAAAGCUGCUAGCUUCAUGACUCAUGGGGGUGGCUUGGUCAGUUCAGGAUACUGUAACAAAAUACCUUAGACUGGGAAAUUUAUAAACAACGGAAUUUAUUGCUCACAGUUCUGGAGGCUGGGAAGUCCAAGAUCAAGGCAGCAGUAGAUCCGGUGCCUGAGCCCGUUCCCUGCUUCAAACAUGGCACCUUCUUGCUGUAUCCUCACAUGGUGGAAGGGGGAAGACAGUUCUCUGGGGCCUCUUUUAUAAGGGCAGUUAUCCAAUUCACAAGGAUAGAGCCCUCAUGACCUAAUCACCUUUCAAAGAUCCCCAUCUUCUAACACCUUCUAACACCAUCACCUUGGUGAUUAGGUCUUUUUGUUGUUGUUGUUGUUGAGAUGGACUCUCACUCUGUUGCCUAGGCUGGAGUGCAGUGGCGUAAUCUUGGUUCACUGCAACCUCUGCCUCCCGGGCUGAAGUGAUUAUCCUGUCUCAGCCUCCCAAGUGGCUGGGAUUACAGGCGUGUGCCACCAUGCCCGGCUAAUUUUCAUAUUUUUAGUAGAGACAGGGUUUCACCAUGUUGGUCAGGCUGGUCUCGAACUCCUGACCUCAUGAUCCGCCCACUUCGUCCUCCCAAAAUGCUGGGAUUACAGGCAUGAGCCACUGCACCCAGCCGAUUAAGUCUUAACGUAUGAGUUUUUGGGAGAAACUCAAACAUUCGGACAAUAGCAAGGAGAAUACAAAACCACAGUGAGCUACCGCUUCAGACACCAGAGAAGUUUAAGUGAAAAAGACUGGCAAUACCAAGUGCUGAUGAGGAUAUGGAGCAACCAGAACUCUCAGACAUUGCUGAUGGGAAUCUAAAUUAGUAUAACCACCACGAAAGCAUCCGUAAGGUUUAAUUGUGUUGAACACACCCUGCCCUCUGACCAAGCAUUUCCACUCCUGGGCAUACAGGCAAAAGAAAUGCAUCCACGUGUUCAUCAAAAGAUGUAACCUGUGCCAGGUGAGGUGGUUCAUGCCUGUAAUCCCAGCACAUCGGGAGGCCAAGGAGGGAGGAUUGCUUGAGCCCAGAAGUUCGAGAGCAGCCUAGGCAACAAGGCAAAACCUCGUCUCUACUAAAAAGUAGCCAGGCAUGAUGGUAUAUGCCUGUAGUCCCAGCUACUCAGGAGGCCAAGGCAUGCAGAUUGAUUGAACCCGGAAGGUGGAGGCUACAGUGAAUUGUGAUCUCGCCACUGCACUCCAGCCUGGGUGACAGAGCAAGAUCUUGUCUCAAUUAAAAAAAAAGGAAGAAAGAAAGACAUAACCUGGAAUAUUCACACCAACACUAUUCAGGAUAGCCCUAAACUGGAAAGAAUCUGAAUAUCCUCCGGCUUUAGAACAGAGAGAAAUUAUAGACUAUUCAUUCAUACAGGGGAUGAUUGAUCAGCUUUAAGAAUAAACAAACCGUACACAACAAUAUAGAUGAAUCUACAACCUUAAUGUGCAAAAUAGUUCACAUAUAUAAAGGACAAAAACAGGCAAAACUACUCCAUGGUGUUAGAAAUAGGGGUAGAGGUUACCCUCAUGCGGCAGGAGGGUUAGUGAUAGGGGAUUUGGAAGAGGAGGAGCCCAAUGGACUGAACAGCUGAGCUGGAAACAGCAAUUUGUUCCUUAAAGUUCUGAACCCAACUGUUAUCCAGCAUGGAGUCUGUCUGGAGAGGCCAGAUGUGGGGCCUCUCACAGGGGAAUGAGAAGUGCCUCUCAGGGUCCCACCCAUGAUCCCCCUUUCCUUGCCCACACAACCACCAACUGGCAAGUAGUAACCCAGGACCUGUAGCCCCCACUGGCUUGACACAGAGCAUAAUGCAAGCUUUUCCUGCUCCAGGUCCUGGACACCACUUUGCCCUUUGCCCCACACGUACAGCCCCCUGACCAAAAGCUGGGUACUCUGGCUUGACUAGAGGGAGCUAGACUCCAGGAAUAAGUAAGGAGCUGGGCUUCCACGCUAGAGAACAAGAGCUUCUCUGGGGAAAGGGGCUUCCCAUGAAGCCCUGGGGCACUGGGAGAUUAAUGGGCAGACCUCUGGCCUCAGCUUCCAGGGAAGGGGAGGGUGUGGGCCAACAUGCGGUGGCUACACUGACCACAAGCCGAUGACCCCAGCCAGCCUCAGGAUGUCUCAGCUCUAGGCAUGGUUUUUCGUUUUGUUUUGUCGUGUUUUGUUUUUGAGAUGGAACCUCGCUCUGUCGCCUAGGCUGGAGUGAAGUGGCACCAUCUCGUCUCCCUGCAACCUCCACCUCCUGGGUUCAAGCGAUUCUCCUGCCUCAGCCUCCUGAGUAGCUGAGAUUACAUGUGCGUGCCACCUUGCCCAGCUAAUUUUUGUAUUUUUAGUAGAGAUAGGGUUUCAUCAUGUUAGCUAGGCUGGUCUCAAACUCCUGACCUCAAGUGAUCUGCCUGCCUCAGCCUCCCAAAGUGCAAGGAUUACAGGCAUGAGCCACCAUGCCCGGCAUAGGCAUGGUUUUGACAAUCUGUCUCUUUGUGCCCUGGCUCCUUCUCCAACUCCUCUUUGGAGGAGGCACAGGAGGAGGGGUCAUUUCACUGUUCCUGAAAAGUAGACAUAUAACCUACAUGCAACUGCCAGGUGAUAAGGGCCCCAUCUGUCUGGCAUGACGUUGGAGGUCCACAAAGGCUGAUUAGAUGAAUGCUCAGCUCUGGGGCCUCCCCACAGAGCUCACAGACAGGCGUGAAGGAAAGCAGGACUCUUAUUAGAAUAUGUUCAGAGUUUUCACUGAAGAAGCCUCCUGUGUGGGCCAGGCACUGUGCUCAGUGCUUUGAUUCACAGUCUCAUUUAAUUCUCACCAUUUACAGACAAGAAUUCAGCUAAGAUCCUUUUCAAUCAAGUCUGGCAAUAUCUGCCUUUCAAUGGCAGUGCCUAGUCCUUUCAUAUGUAAUAUACUUAUCAUUAUGGGUGGGUUUAAGUUUUAUCAUCUUGCUAUUUGUUAUCUAUUUGUCCCCCCUCUUUUGUUCCUCCUUUACUGCCUUCUAUUUGGUUGAGACUUAAUAAAAUAUUUUAUUCCAUCUUCUCUACUUACUUUUUAGCUAUGCCUCCUUAUAUUUUUGGUUGCUGGAGUGUUACAAUAUGCAUUCUUCAAUAUCCAGUCUACUUUCCAAUAAUAUUACACCACUUCAUGUAUAACGUAAGAACGUUACAAAAAUAUAAUGCCAGGGCUGGGCGCAGUGGCUCACGCCUGUAAUCCCAGCACUUUGGGAGGUCGAGGCGGGCAGCUCACCUGAGGUCAGGAGUUCGAGACCAGCCUGACCAACAUGGAGGAACCCCAUCUCUACUAAAAAUACAAAAUUAGCCGGGCAUGGUGGCUCAUGCCUGUAAUCCCAGCUACUCAGGAGGCUGAGGCAGGAGAGUUGCUUGAACCGGGGAGGUGGAAGUUGCAAUGAGCCAAGAUUGCGCCGUUGCAC